rnacentral:RNase_P_RNA from 1 species
AAAUAAGUUUGAGUGAUCGCCCUGUUUUCUGCUUAGGCAGAAUAAGCAGGGAGGAAAGUCCGAGCACCACGGGAAAUCGCAGCCGGUAACACCGCGCCGCAAGGCUCCAAAAAAGUCUUGCAGGGAAAGUGCCUCAGAGACAAUACUAGCCUGUCAGACAGGCGAAAGGUGAAAAGCCCGGCCAAGCCGGGAGUCAUAACAGGAUCAUUUCGAUGAUCUCCAAACAGACUUGGUAAACCCUGCGAGGUGCAAGGUGAGAUGGAAAGAUUAAUCUGCUCCCAAAUGCAGAUAAAUCUUCUCACCGCUCGAUCCGCAAAAGCGGACCAGAUAGAUGAUCACACCCGUUUCACGGGCAACAAAACUCGGCUUAUGAUAACUUAUUUAAGA